CGCCCUGCUGACAUCUUGAGGUUAGCUUAGUGAGAACCGUUUUAGACUUUGCACCUCCAGAACUCUAAGGUAAUAAAUUUGUGUUGUGCUAAGCCAAAAAAAUAAUUCUGCAAUGAUGAUGAAAAUCCAUUCUGCUGUUUUUUACAUAAUACGAUGACAGAUGAAGAGACUACACAGCUACAUCUUAUCAGAAAUUAUACAAUUAUACACAUGUGGCACAUGCUUAUGUUCUCGGCUGUGGGAAACAAACCCUGCCUCGGAGAAACUUAGAAAUGCAUUGGCAAGCAAAGGUGCGCACACAAUAAAGCAAGCAAAACAUCUUUAUUUCAGGGAAAAUGUGUGCAGUACUGAUAAUGGGACCGGAGAAAGCAGGGAAAGCAUGGAUCCAGGUGUGACCAUCAGGGAUGUCUGGAGCACCUGGGUGUCUUCUGGAACUCUGCUGUCCACCUUCUUGCCAUGUCAAAAAACCCAGUGGGAGGCCAGAAAACAACCUCGCUGUUAGGCAGUGCCCAGGCACACAGCAUUCCAGAAGACAACUGCCGCCCCUUGCCUGCACCUUGCUGUCACCCUCUGGUGAGCCAUCACCACACCAUGAUGUGCCUGGUCUGCGGCUUUGUCGGCAUAGAGACCUGGGCAGCCAGAGAGUGGUUAUCACUCUCAUGUUCCAGCGGAGAAAACAAGACGAGUUGUUCCACCCCAGGAGCACACGGAAAGCGCAGGCCUGGGACCAGGACACAGUCCAUUGUACCUUCCUGGGAGCACAGCUGUGUGUGCAGAGCCCUGGCACAGUUGUGCGUGACUCUGCAUAGCAGGCCUUGGAGUGGCAGAGGGGGACUCUUGAGAGAGAGAAUAGGUCCAGUGACAAGUUGGUGA
rnacentral:lncRNA from 12 species